rnacentral:rRNA from 1 species
GGCCUUGACAUACUAAGAACUUUCCAGAGAUGGAUUGGUGCCUUCGGGAACUUAGAUACAGGUGCUGCAUGGCUGUCGUCAGCUCGUGUCGUGAGAUGUUGGGUUAAGUCCGCAACGAGCGCAACCCUUUUCCUAUUUGCCAGCGGGUAAUGCCGGGAACUUUAAGGAUACUGCCAGUGACAAACUGGAGGAAGGCGGGGACGACGUCAAGUCAUCAUGGCCCUUACGGCCAGGGCUACACACGUGCUACAAUGGUCGGUACAAAGGGUUGCUACCUCGCGAGAGGAUGCUAAUCUCAAAAAAGCCGAUCGUAGUCCGGAUCGCAGUCUGCAACUCGACUGCGUGAAGUCGGAAUCGCUAGUAAUCGCGGAUCAGAAUGCCGCGGUGAAUACGUUCCCGGGCCUUGUACACACCGCCCGUCACACCAUGGGAGUUUGUUGCACCAGAAGUAGGUAGUCUAACCGCAAGGAGGACGCUUACCACGGUGUGGCCGAUGACUGGGGUGAAGUCGUAACAAGGUAGGCGUAGAUGA